AGCGGCGGAUGGGUGAGUAACACGUGGGGAACCUGCCCCUAAGUCUGGGAUACCAUUUGGAAACAGGUGCUAAUACCGGAUAAUAAAGCAGAUCGCAUGAUCAGCUUUUGAAAGGCGGCGUAAGCUGUCGCUAAGGGAUGGCCCCGCGGUGCAUUAGCUAGUUGGUAAGGUAACGGCUUACCAAGGCGACGAUGCAUAGCCGAGUUGAGAGACUGAUCGGCCACAUUGGGACUGAGACACGGCCCAAACUCCUACGGGAGGCAGCAGUAGGGAAUCUUCCACAAUGGACGCAAGUCUGAUGGAGCAACGCCGCGUGAGUGAAGAAGGUUUUCGGAUCGUAAAGCUCUGUUGUUGGUGAAGAAGGAUAGAGGUAGUAACUGGCCUUUAUUUGACGGUAAUCAACCAGAAAGUCACGGCUAACUACGUGCCAGCAGCCGCGGUAAUACGUAGGUGGCAAGCGUUGUCCGGAUUUAUUGGGCGUAAAGCGAGCGCAGGCGGAAAAAUAAGUCUAAUGUGAAAGCCCUCGGCUUAACCGAGGAACUGCAUCGGAAACUGUUUUUCUUGAGUGCAGAAGAGGAGAGUGGAACUCCAUGUGUAGCGGUGGAAUGCGUAGAUAUAUGGAAGAACACCAGUGGCGAACGCGGCUCUCUGGUCUGCAACUGACGCUGAGGCUCGAAAGCAUGGGUAGCGAACAGGAUUAGAUACCCUGGUAGUCCAUGCCGUAAACGAUGAGUGC
rnacentral:rRNA from 1 species